CACUCUCAGCUGCUAGAGGCUGUGGUCAUUGCUCAUGUGGGAAAGAUGAGGAAUUCGGUUUGGGACAUGUUGACUUCAGAGGAGGACAUGCAAACAGCUGGCAGAAAUGAGAGAAUUUUUAGUGAAUUCAGGAGUUUUCAACUGGAAGUGACUUGGCCCCACAGGGAACAGCUGGCAAUGUUAUAAGACACAUUUAGUUGUCACGCCAGUUGGGACUGCCAGCAUCUAGGAACGAGCCACCAGGGACACUGCUAGACAUCCUACAGUGCACAGGACAACACAGAAUUAGCCACCCCAGAGUGAGUAGUGCUGAGUCUAAGAAACUGUGAGUUACUGGCUGGUACUUGGCUCCCAGAGCGAGGAGAAGAGGGCUUCCAAAACACAGCCCUAACAGGAGGGCAGGCCAACCCAGAGCCUGAGAAGAAGCCAGGAAAGGGGAGAGAGCAGCACGUGUUUAAAAUUGUGAGGACAUGCUGAAAACCGCUUAGCCGACAGGCAGAUGGUUCUGGCUGCUGUUAUGAGAGAAGGAAGAAAAAGCAGACCCAGGGCGAAACCAGUUUCAAGGAGACUGGCUCUGCUGCAGCAGGCGCUGGUUUUCGAAGUGAUGGGGCCCAGCUCCUAUCUCGGAACCUCGAUCGGCGGAGACUUUUCCCGUCUCCUGCAGGUGGCAGGAACUCGGGGGUCCAGGAGGCGGGCGCUCUUCCCAGGCACCCAGCCCCGGGGUGCCAGGCGCACCGGGCGGGGGGUGGGCGGGAGCACGGAGAGCCGGCGGGGAGCGGGGAGGCCGCGAGCGGGGAGGCUGGGGGAGCCAGAGGGAGCCGGAGGCAGCGGGAGAACCGCGCGGGCGCGCACGGAGUCCCGGGACGGCCAGGGGAGGGUUUCGCUAAUCCCUGCACCCCGCGGCGCCAACAAGCCAGGCGCGGUUUCUGCAAAAAAAAAAAAAAAAAAGGCUUCCCGGGACAGCUGGGGAGGCUGGAGCUUCCAGCCUGUCUCAGGGGUCCGGCCCGCCUCCGCGCACUGAUGGAGCGGGGACCCCGUAGGCCUCCAGCGCCACUGUCCCGGCCCAGCCAGGCCUGGCCCCGGUCGCUCGCGUCCUCCCCGCGCUGCCUCGCCUCGUGGCCCAGCGCAUCCACAUCCGUGGGCCUCAUCGCGACUCCUCCCCGUCUGCGGAGCGCGCGGGGGGAUGAGACAUUCCGCAAGGGCAGGGUCCCCCAAGGGCGAGCAAGGGUGCCGUGCGUCCCACUGGUGGCCUGCGGGAGACGUGGCACCUGCGCGAGGAGGCCCAGGACAGCAGGGCAGCCGGGACUUCGGGGCCCUAGAGGCCAGAUGAGGCCGGGACCGGUGAGAUUCCCGCCGACGCCGGUCCGGGGCGCAGGACGCACCGCGGGCUGGAAUCCCCGGGGCGGCGUCUCCGGAGUGCGCCGGGGCCGGGGCGGGGCGGAAAGCGGACCCUGGGGCGGGGAUCCAGACGGCACUCGGGGCCUCGCAGUCGGGGGGAGGGGGCUCGUCACCGCGGGCACCGGGGCCAGGGCCCCCGACCGCAUUUAAAGGGCGGAGGGCGGGGCCCGGGAGCUGCCGGCGG
rnacentral:lncRNA from 12 species